rnacentral:lncRNA from 10 species
AUUGCUGCUCUCAAAUUUAGAUAACCAGUCAUUUAUUCACUGGGAAUCUAUGUCUAUUCUGCCCUUCAUUCAUUGCCUUGCUUACUUUUAAAGGUUCAUAUGAGGAGAACAUUUGAAUAUUGUAUUUGUAACAAUUGAAAUACAACCAGAUGUGCAAGGAUAGUGAUAACAAUAGGCAUAAAAAAUUUCAUGGAAUGUUCAGAGGGUCAUUUGCCCCCAACUAGAUUUUAUGCUCUGAAGAACACAUAAGAUGAAAAAUUUACUAAACAAAGUGAAGGGUCUGAAAACAAAUAAUAGUGAAUAUGUAUAGGAAAUGCUAUUUACUAGUUUUUUUUAAGGCUUAUCUAAGCCAUGUAAUUCUGUCCCAGAAAUAUACCUAGGUUGGUCAUAACUACAUCUAAAGUGAGUGACUUUAAUGAAUAUUUUAAAUGGUAAUUAUUACUUAUAGUUUAUAUUGGGUAUUGCUUUAAAACUCAAAUUAGAUUGAAUGUCAACUUGACAUUUUAUUUGACCCUGCAAUUCUUGUGAAAUACUGUAAAGGGAAUUUAUGGUUGUUAUAAAUAAAUUUAUUUUAAAAAAUCACUUUUACUGACUGUUUAACAUAAUAAGAUAGAUAAAUACCUGGUAAAUUUGAUAUUCAUCAUUAAAAUAUCCAUGCAUGUGCAGAUAAAAAUAUGAAUAACUGCUGACUAAUACCUCCUAAAGAUGAAGAUAGAAAAUCAUGUCCUGAAAAUACUUAUUUAUUCAUUUAUCCUGUAAUGUGAGAUACACUUAUUCAAAAUAUGGACUGUGUCAGGCAUUGUCCUAAGUAAUGGGAGAAAAAUGGUAUAGAAAAGCAAAUGGGCUUCACAGUACAUAAUUUUAUAGGUUACACUGGGGAGAAAAUUAUCAAUCAUACAAUCCUACUUACGAAUAUUUAAAUAUUCACCGAAGUAAGUGCUCCGUAGGAAAGAUGUAUGAGUCACUGAAACCUUUUAGAAGAAACUUACCCAGAUCUUUGAUUUUAGAAAAGGCUUCUUUAAAAUAUGUGAUAGUUAAGUUGAUACACUAUAGAUGUGUAAGAGUUAAGUACCAAAUACAUAGCCCCUGUGGUGAAGGACAGACUAUUUGAAGAAAUGACAAAGAACCAGGGUGACAGGAACACACAGAAAAAUGGAGAAAGUGAUACAAGAUUAGCUAAGAGAGUUAAAGCAGAGUCCAGAAAAUGCAAUUAAGUAGGCUAGAAGUAAUAGGCAGCCAAUGAAAAAUGUCAAAAAGAAUGAUAGUAGAGAUGGGACAUAAUUUGAACUAAUUUUUCUGUUUUUUUAAAGUAAUUUUAUUGUGAUAUAAUUUACAUAUAUAGUAUACAGUACAAUGUGCCCUUUAUAAAGUAUGCAGAUCUAUCAAUUUUGACCAGUGCAUACAAUCAGAUAAAAAGUUGUCGGGCCAGUCGUGGUGGCUCAUGCCCAUAAUCCCAGCACUUUGGGAGGCCGAGGUGGGCAGAUCAUGAGGUCAGGAGAUUGAGACCAUCCUAGCCAACACGGUGAAACCCUGUCUCUACUAAUAAUACUAAAAAAUUAGCCAGGCAUUUUGGCACGCACCUGUAGUCCCAGCUACUCGGGAGGCUGAGGCAGGAGAAUGGCAUGAACCCAGGAGAUGGAGCUUGCAGUGAGCCAAGAUCGCGCCACUGUACUCCAGCCUGGGCAACAGAGCAAGACUCUGUCUC